rnacentral:rRNA from 1 species
GUGGGGAAUAUUGGACAAUGGGGGGAACCCUGAUCCAGCCAUGCCGCGUGUGUGAAGAAGGCCUUUUGGUCGUAAAGCACUUUAAGCGAGGAGGAGGCUACCGAGAUUAAUACUCUUGGAUAGUGGACGUUACUCGCAGAAUAAGCACCGGCUAACUCUGUGCCAGCAGCCGCGGUAAUACAGAGGGUGCAAGCGUUAAUCGGAUUUACUGGGCGUAAAGCGCGCGUAGGUGGCCAAUUAAGUCAAAUGUGAAAUCCCCGAGCUUAACUUGGGAAUUGCAUUCGAUACUGGUUGGCUAGAGUAUGGGAGAGGAUGGUAGAAUUCCAGGUGUAGCGGUGAAAUGCGUAGAGAUCUGGAGGAAUACCGAUGGCGAAGGCAGCCAUCUGGCCUAAUACUGACACUGAGGUGCGAAAGCAUGGGGAGCAAACAGGAUUAGAUACCCCUGUAGUCC